rnacentral:lncRNA from 1 species
AGUUUGACACCUUCCUUUUAUCCCGAGAAGGUCCCUUGGAAGACACUUCAGGAAGGCAGGAUGGCAGGACCUGGUUCCCUUCAUCCUGCCUGUGCCUGCUCCACACCUCUGCUCCCCAGAGUAGAUGGGAGGGGAGGUCUUUCUAAACAAAAAUGAUAUCUAUGUAAAUAUAUGUAGUUUCAGGCUUGCACCUGUUAUUUCUUUUGUUUUCUUUUUUAAUGGAACAACAAUCGCUUUGGCUUUAUUUUGUUUUUUCAACAAAUGUCAUUUUAAAGUUCCAAAUAUCUUGACAACCCCCUCCCUUCCUUUUUCCAAGUUCUGGGUGCUGAGGAGAAACAUCAACCUCCCUUUCUGUCUUCCAACCUGUCCCUCUGAGGCAGGCAUGACCCUGCUGUUCGCAGUGGGUUGCGUCUUCUUCCCGUUGUGCUUCACUGCCCUGCGCUGGGGCUUGCAGAACCACACCAACCUGCAGAUGGAGAGACAAGAGGCUGUCCUGGUAGCAUCCAAGUAAGAGGACCAGGGUGAGGGUGUCCUUCCUGGGGCCAUGGCUGGUGGAACUGAUCUUUUACUUUCAGAAUGAGUUUGUGGUGAAAGCAGAAGCAGAGUGUGGAGUGGAGCUGGAAUGUGGAGUCAAAAGACACCAGCAGGCUGGGCGUGGUGGCUCACGCCUAUAAUUCCAGCACUUUGGGAAGCUGAGGCUGGUCUCAAACUCCUGAUCUCAGGUGAUCUGCCCACUUUGGCCUCCUAAAGUGCUAGGAUUACAGGCAUGAGCCACCACGCCCAACCUCUUCCAAUUCUUGAAUACUGAUAAGUAACUAAGAAUUUAUUUAAGAACUACUAUACUGACAACUGCAUACUGGCCAAACAAAACAUGUCUGUGGGCCGGAUUGGGCCCUUGGGCUGCAGAUCUAUGACCUGUGUGACAAAGCUUACCAUAAAAGUGCAGUAUCAGCAAACCACAGGAGGCGUAGGAGGUACACGGAACACAGAUUUUACUAGGGUGUCUACGUGGAUUCCCUGGCAGACAAAAAAAGCCUGUCUCUACUCAUCCAAAGUGAAACCACAGUUCCAUGACCAGCCUUGUAGUCCUCAAUCGAGUAGUUACGGUGGCCGCCCAUCACCCAGCCUCCCCAGCCUCUGUCCUUUUUGCAGUUUUGCUCAUGAGUGGCUUUGGGGUUAUGCAACUAUGGUUUUUUGGUUUUUCUGUUUUCUUUUAAGAUGGAGUCUCGCUCUGUCGCCCAGGCUGGAGUGCGAUGGCACGAUCUCGGCUCACUGCAACCUCCGCCUCCCAGGUUCAAGCAAUUCUCCUGCCUCAGCCUCUCAAGUAGCUGGGACUACAGGCGCAUGCCACCAUGCCCGGCUAAUUUUUUGUAUUUUUAGAAGAGACGGGGUUUCGCUGUGUUAGCCAGGAUGGUCUCGAUCUCAUGAUUCGCCAGCCUUGGCCUCCCAAAGCGCUGGGAUUACAGGUGUGAGACACCUUGCCCGGCUGCAACCAUGGGUUUGAAACCCAGCUUUCAUCCGGGCGUGGUGGCUCCCACCUGUAAUAUCAGCAUGUUGGGAGGCAGAGGUGGGUGGAUCGCUUGAGCCCAGGAGUUUGAGACCAGCCUGGCUAACGUGGUGAAACUUCAUCUCUACAAAAAAUACAAAAAUUAGCUGAGCAUGGUGGUGUGCGCCUGUAGUCCCAGCUACUGGGGAUACUGAGGUAUAAGGAUCAUUUCAGCCCGGGGAGGUUGAGGUUGCAGUGAGCCAUGAUCGCGCCACUGUACUCCAGCCUGGGGGACAGAAUGAGACCCUAUCUC